rnacentral:rRNA from 1 species
AACGGUACGUCCGGUCGGGUAGGGGAAGGNGUAACUACUGGAAACGGUAGCUAAUACCGCAUAACGUCGCAAGACCAAAGAGGGGGACCUUCGGGCCUCUUGCCACCGGAUGUGCCCAGAUGGGAUUAGCUUGUUGGUGAGGUAACGGCUCACCAAGGCGACGAUCCCUAGCUGGUCUGAGAGGAUGACCAGCCACACUGGAACUGAGACACGGUCCAGACUCCUACGGAAGGCAGCAG